UGGUCACCGCCGAUACUCGAUAGUUCAUUAAAGUGUUCUCGAAAUGUAGAGCAAAAGUCGCGGAUAAUAACUUAGUGGAACAGUAUAAGUUAAUACAACAUUGCCCUAGUUCACUGGAAUGACUUGGAAAAGAAGAAAACCACAUUUAUUCUCGGGUUUGAAAACUGUAACAUAUUAUCAAGAGCGUUUGCUAUUAUGAAGAGACCUGCAAUUUGUUUGAGACGCCAUUUUGUACCUCACGUCGUGACGAAUUAAGAUGACUCUUUAAUCGCGGGGUGGACUUUUUACAUGGUUAGUAUUAAAGUAUGUUCUUUACGUGUGGUUUCCAACACCUGAUUUUGUUGUUUUGCUAAUCCCCAGUUGUAUGUGAGCAGAAUAGUUCUUCCAUAUUAAAGUCUAAGCGAGGAUUUCCACGGAGAAAUAUUUCGUCGUCGAAACGAGGGAAACUCACGCGAGUUAAAUCUGUAUGUUACAACCCUGUGUAAUCAACAGUCAUGAUAUAACCAGAAUGUUAGAAGGUAUAUAUCAGACUUGUUAGAACAACCUUGUAACAAGUC